rnacentral:rRNA from 1 species
AUUGAACGCUGGCGGCAGGCUUAACACACGCAAGUCGAGCGGGGGAAGGUAGCUUGCUACCGGACCUAGCGGCGGACGGGUGAGUAAUGCUUAGGAAUCUGCCUAUUAGUGGGGGACAACAUCUCGAAAGGGAUGCUAAUACCGCAUACGUCCUACGGGAGAAAGCAGGGGAUCUUCGGACCUUGCGCUAAUAGAUGAGCCUAAGUCGGAUUAGCUAGUUGGUGGGGUAAAGGCCUACCAAGGCGACGAUCUGUAGCGGGUCUGAGAGAAUGAUCCGCCACACUGGGACUGAGACACGGCCCAGACUCCUACGGGAGGCAGCAGUGGGGAAUAUUGGACAAUGGGGGGAACCCUGAUCCAGCCAUGCCGCGUGUGUGAAGAAGGCCUUAUGGUUGUAAAGCACUUUAAGCGAGGAGGAGGCUACUUUAGUUAAUACCUAGAGAUAGUGGACGUUACUCGCAGAAUAAGCACCGGCUAACUCUGUGCCAGCAGCCGCCGUAA